rnacentral:rRNA from 1 species
AUUGAACGCUGGCGGCAGGCCUAACACAUGCAAGUCGAGCGAGCGGCGGACGGGUGAGUAAUGUAUGGGGACUGCCCGAUAGAGGGGGGUAACUAAUGGAAACGGUAGCUAAUACCGCAUACUAUCGGAUAACCCAUAUGGGAUUAGCUAGUAGGUGAGUUAAUGGUUAACCUAGGGGACGAUCCCUAGCUGGUCUGAGAGGAUGAUCAGCCAAACUGGGACGGAGAAACGGCCCAGAUUCCUACGGAGGCAGCAGUGGGGAAUGUUGCACAAGGGGGGCAAGCUGGCUGCAGCCAUGCGGCGUGUAUGAAGAAGGCCCUAGGGUUGUAAAGUCCUUUCAGUCGGGAGGCGUUACCGACAGAAGAAGCACCGGCUAACUCCGUGCCAGCAGCCGCGGUAAUUC